UCCGGUUUGUCACCGGCAGUCGUUCUAGAGUGCCCAUCCUUACAUGCUGGCAACUAGACCUAAGGGUUGCGCUCGUUGCGGGACUUAACCCAACAUCUCACGACACGAGCUGACGACAACCAUGCACCACCUGUCACCUCUGCCCCGAAGGGAAGGUACAUCUCUGUACCGAUCAGAGGGAUGUCAAGACCUGGUAAGGUUCUUCGCGUUGCUUCGAAUUAAACCACAUACUCCACUGCUUGUGCGGGUCCCCGUCAAUUCCUUUGAGUUUCAGUCUUGCGACCGUACUCCCCAGGCGGAAUGCUUAAUGUGUUAACUUCGGCACCAAGGGUAUUGAAACCCCUAACACCUAGCAUUCAUCGUUUACGGCGUGGACUAC
rnacentral:misc_RNA from 1 species